rnacentral:rRNA from 1 species
AUUGAACGCUGGCGGCAGGCCUAACACAUGCAAGUCGAACGAGUGGCGGACGGGUGAGUAAUGUCUGGGAACCUGCCCGAUGGAGGGGGAUAACUACUGGAAACGGUAGCUACUACCGCAUACCAUCGGAUGUGCCCAGGUGGGAUUAGCUAGUAGGUGGGGUAACGGCUCACCAAGGCGACGAUCCCUAGCUGGUCUGAGAGGGUGACCAGCCACACUGGAACUGAGACACGGUCCAGACUCCUACGGGAGGCAGCAGUGGGGAAUAUUGCGCAAUGGGCGAAAGCCUGAUGCAGCCAUGCCGCGUGUAUGAAGAAGGCCUUCGGGUUGUAAAGCACUUUCAUCAGGGAGGCGGUACCCGCAGAAGAAGCCCCGGCUAACUACGUGCCAGCAGCCGCGGUAAUUC